GGCGGCGUGCCUAACACAUGCAAGUCGUACGAGAAAGUCGGCUUCGGCCGGUGAGUAAAGUGGCGCACGGGUGAGUAACGCGUGGAUAAUCUGCCCUCCGGUCAGGAAUUAACCAAUCGAAAGGUUGGCUAAUACCCGAUCACACUCUUGCACUGCGGUGCAAUAGUCAAAGAUGGCCUCUGUAUACAAGCUAUCGCCGGGGGAUGAGUCCGCGUACCAUUAGCUGGUUGGUGGGGUAAUGGCCUACCAAGGCGAUGAUGGUUAGCUGGUCUGAGAGGAUGGCCAGCCACACUGGAACUGAGACACGGUCCAGACUCCUACGGGAGGCAGCAGUGAGGAAUCUUGCGCAAUGGGGGAAACCCUGACGCAGCAACGCCGCGUGAGUGAGGAAGGCCCUCGGGUCGUAAAGCUCUGUCAGGUGGGAAGAAAUCGAUGAAGGUGAACAACCUCCAUCCUUGACGGUACCACCAGAGGAAGCACCGGCUAACUCCGUG
rnacentral:rRNA from 1 species